GGAAUAUUGGUCAAUGGACGCAAGUCUGAACCAGCCAUGCCCGCGUUGAAGGAUGAAGGUCCUCUGGAUUGUAAACUUCUUUUAUGGGGGACGAAAUCAACGUUUCUACGUUGUCUGACGGUACCCUAGGAAUAAGCACCGGCUAACUCCGUG
rnacentral:rRNA from 1 species